GUUAAAUUGUUCCUGAUGGCUAUUUCUCCAGCCCCUCAUUUAUUCACGAUGAUUAAAGUUUAAAAGACCAAGCAUGUGAUAUGGACUUGCACCAUUCCCAAAAACAUACACACUAGAUUUGAUUGGAUUUUUUUCUUUACAGAAUUUGCUGGAAUUUGGCACCAUUCUCUUAUUAAGAGACCCAUUUGUAACUGAACUAUAAGAGUGGGACAUCUUCCAAAAAGUCACAGAGUGAUAGUGUCACGUUCCUAAGUCUAGGGGUCUCAGAAACGCAACAAGGUGUGGAGAGGAGGAGGUCCACUGUUACACAUGCAACCAAACAAACGAUACAAACAGUGCUCAAUAAAACAGGUUCAAUAAGACAGCGGACUCAGGACAGCUAAUAAACAUCAAAACAGCCUAAAGGAAGGGAUGGGAUAACAGCAGGGAUCUCAAAACGCACACAAAAAGGGCACAUAACAGGCUAACAGCUAACAGGCUAACACAAAGCAACAAGACACACGAAUGAGAUCCCCAACGGAGCUCCUUGGACCCUGGGGACCUCCCGAAAGAGUAAGGGCCUAGCAGACCCUGGGGACCUCCAAAACACCAUCUGAAGUCUCUUUCUAUAGGUGGUGGUGACCAAUGGCAGAUGGUAGGUGGAGCUGGAAGGCUUCAACUCCUCCCAUGAAGUCAACCUAAAAAAACACAGCCAGACACACAGAAGACGUGGGAGCAUACAUCCAGGGACGUAACAGAUAGUUGGUCCCGGCCAGCAGGGACUGAGACCCCUAUCAACUGGUCCCACUGGAUUUCCUGUUCCUUCGCUGCUCUAAUGUCAGCUGUGGCUCUUCAGCAUGAACCUGGUCAAAGAAAGGUGUCUUUAAGGUCAGUUCUAUUUGUUGCAGGCUGUUAAAAAUGGAAGCCGUUCUGAUAAUAAGUCAUGUUAAUUCAUGUUAAUGUGUGUUUCAGCAAGCUGGGGUUGCUCUUUGUAAAACCCCAGCUCCAUUCAAACUCUGGCAU
ensembl:lncRNA